rnacentral:tRNA from 1 species
ACCUGGGUGGCUCAGUCGGUUAAGCAUCUGAUUUCAGCUCAGGUUGUGAUUUCAUGGUUUGUGAGUUCAAGCCUCACAUCAGGCU